rnacentral:rRNA from 1 species
GAACGCUGGCGGCGUGCUUAACACAUGCAAGUCGAACGGAAAGGCCUCAGCUUGCUGGGGUACUCGAGUGGCGAACGGGUGAGUAACACGUGGGUGAUCUGCCUUGCACUCUGGGAUAAGCUUGGGAAGCUGGGUCUAAUACCGGAUAUGAACUGCCUUUAGUGUGGUGGUUGGAAAGUUUUUUCGGUGCAAGAUGAGCUCGCGGCCUAUCAGCUUGUUGGUGGGGUAAUGGCCUACCAAGGCGUCGACGGGUAGCCGGCCUGAGAGGGUGUACGGCCACAUUGGGACUGAGAUACGGCCCAGACUCCUACGGGAGGCAGCAGUGGGGAAUAUUGCACAAUGGGCGGAAGCCUGAUGCAGCGACGCCGCGUGGGGGAUGACGGCCUUCGGGUUGUAAACUCCUUUCGACAGGGACGAAGCUUUUUGUGACGGUACCUGUAUAAGAAGCACCGGCUAACUACGUG